rnacentral:rRNA from 1 species
GUGGGGAAUAUUGGACAAUGGGCGAAAGCCUGAUCCAGCAAUGCCGCGUGAGUGAUGAAGGCCUUAGGGUUGUAAAGCUCUUUUACCCGGGAAGAUAAUGACUGUACCGGGAGAAUAAGCCCCGGCUAACUCCGUGCCAGCAGCCGCGGUAAUACGGAGGGGGCUAGCGUUGUUCGGAAUUACUGGGCGUAAAGCGCACGUAGGCGGUUUUGUAAGUUAGAGGUGAAAGCCUGGGGCUCAACCCCAGAAUUGCCUUUAAGACUGCAUCACUUGAACGUCGGAGAGGUGAGUGGAAUUCCGAGUGUAGAGGUGAAAUUCGUAGAUAUUCGGAAGAACACCAGUGGCGAAGGCGGCUCACUGGACGACUGUUGACGCUGAGGUGCGAAAGCGUGGGGAGCAAACAGGAUUAGAUACCCCGGUAGUCC